AUAGCACGCAGAUGGGAGCUUCGGUGCAUUUACCCCGGUGUCAUUCCCAAUGAUAGGAGGCGGGGGCGGGGCUGAGAAUGCUUUGAACACAGAUGCGGAGCGGCUCUUCUGCUCUGAGUGGAGCGCCAGUGGAACGAACAGCACCAUGACUGCGAACACAUACGACGUGAUUGUGAUUGGCGGAGGCAUUUCAGAUGAACAACUGUCCUUGGGGUUGCCAGAAG
rnacentral:lncRNA from 1 species